CUUCUAACGCACAACGGCAGAUACAAAAUUGAUUAUCCAAGCAUCUCUUACUCUCUCCAAAGUCCCAAACCUUGAAACCCAGCAAAUUUUUUCUUUAAAUUGGUUUCUAUGGUUACUCAAUUCUUCAGUUCAUUCUCAUCCAUCACCCAAUCUUUUUCCUCUCUAUGUUUCUAUUAUUCUACGGUGAUCAUACGAAUUUUUCAGCUUUCCAUCGAUGUAGGCUGAGGUCAAAUCAAAAUAGGUGCAAUUGGAAGUUGGAGUUGUAAGUCAAUCUCGAUUAGAAAAGAAAGAACAAGAAGGAAAAAAGCAAAUUCCAGAUUUUCGGGUGCAAUUAGAAGUUGGAUUUGCAAGUCAAUCUCAAUCAGAAAAGAAAAAACAAGAAGGAAAAAAGCUGAUUCUAGAUUUCCAGGCUAGUUGGGCACGCACAAAAAAUUUCGCCCUGGGCAUAAAAAAGCUCAGGACCGGCCCUGCUACUUAUAAAGAGAAUACUUAUACCACUAGACCAAAUGAUAUGCAUUUUAAAAAAAAAAAUUUAUUACAUUUUU